CCAUGAAGGUUUUCGAAGAGGACCAGAACAUGUUGUCUGACCAUCGGAAAAAACACCUGACACUUAAAAAGAGCUUUUACCAAUGGAAGACUCUGGCCGAAGGACUAUCCCACAUCAACAGUUUCAAUGAUGUGUCUGAGCUCCCAGCUGAAGUCCGCUUUUCUGAUUGCAAAUCAGCUGAAUUCAAGAAUGGAAAACUGAUAAUUGGUACUGAGCUCAAGAUUAAGGGGCUGCUUGGAUCUAACGAAAAUUGGGAAAGUCUUGAAGACAUGAAAAGAAUCUUCUGGUACAAAAGGACAACAAUGUCAG